UAGGGAAUCUUCCACAAUGGACGCAAGUCUGAUGGAGCAACGCCGCGUGAGUGAAGAAGGUUUUCGGACCGUAAAGCUCUGUUGUUGGUGAAGAAGGAUAGAGGUAGUAACUGGCCUUUAUUUGACGGUAAUCAACCAGAAAGUCACGGCUAACUACGUGCCAGCAGCCGCGGUAAUCGUAGGUGGCAAGCGUUGUCCGGAUUUAUUGGGCGUAAAGCGAGCGCAGGCGGAAGAAUAAGUCUGAUGUGAAAGCCCUCGGCUUAACCGAGGAAUUGCAUCGGAAACUGUUUUCUUGAGUGCAGAAGAGGAGAGUAGAACUCCAUGUGUAGCGGUGGAAUGCGUAGAUAUAUGGAAGAAUACCAGUGGCGAAGGCGGCUCUCUGGUCUGCAACUGACGCUGAGGCUCGAAAGCAUGGGUAGCGAACAGGAUUAGAUACCCUGGUAGUCCAUGCCGUAAACGAUGAGUGCUAAGUGUUGGGAGGCUUCCGCCUCUCAGUGCUGCAGCUAACGCAUUAAGCACUCC
rnacentral:rRNA from 1 species